rnacentral:sRNA from 1 species
CCGGGUCUGAGUGGUGGCGUCCCCUCUGUCCCUGGCCGUCCUGUGCCCUGACCUUCCUCCCCGCAGAGGGCUUCCAGUCCUGGAUGUGGCGGGGCCUCACCUUCCUGCUGCCUUUUCUUUUCUUUGGACACGUAAGUCGUGCCUCUGUGUCCCUGCCUGUCUGUCCGUCCUCUGCGCCGGUUUCGGGCUCGAGCAGGGACUGGGUCUUCUGAGUAAAACGCCUCCUCCCUGCUCAGUUCUGGCAGCUUUUUAACGCGCUGACGUUGUUCAACCUGGCCCGGGACCCUCAGUGCAAGGAGUGGCAGGUGAGCCGGGGUCCCUGGAGAGGAUGGAUGGGGGGCCAGGCCCAGGUCCAGCCCUCACCCUAUUCCUCCGGCAGGUGCUUAUGUGCGGCUUUCCCUUCCUCCUCCUCUUCCUCGGCAAUUUCUUCACCACCCUGAGGGUUGUGCACCAGAAGUUUCACAGUCAGCGGCAUGGCAGCAAGAAGGAUUGAGGCUGGGCCUUCCCCUGCUGGCCCAGAGGGGCUUCUGUCCUGUGUUGUGGGAGGGGAUGGGAGGUGCCCCUCGAGUGUGCGUGUAUCAGGGGGUCUCUUCUAUUCUCCCUUGGGUUUUAUGGGCUCUGUGGGCCCUGAAGGAAGACCUGGGCCCAGUGCCCUCAAUAAAGAGAGGCCCAGAGGUG